UCGAAGAAAUCAGUGGAAUGGAGGCCGUUACGAAAGGGAAUCUGCGACAAGAGAAAGAAAAGCUUGUGUUGGAUGCUUUCGUAGAUUCAUACACUACCUACGUGAAACGAUUUAUCAACCGCUAAACAUCGAGGAACGUGCCAGGCUGCGACAAGAGAAAGUAAAGCUUGUGUUGGAUGCUUUCGUAGAUUCAUACACUACCUACGUGAAACGAUUUAUCAACCGCUAAACAUCGAGGAACACGCCAGGCUGUUUACACCACAUAAAAUUCUUACGGGAAAGUGUCAGCAGGAUGUGAACCAGAAGCAGCUACUGAACAUCUUCCAACCACUUCUUCAAAGCGUACUGCAAAUGCAAGCAACGCAGCAAGUGCUGGCUAUUCCUCCCUUUAAUGAGGCUUUAGAGGAUUGGGAAGCCUAUGAAUCAAGAUAACUAGAGCAUAUCCACACAUUCAAGGGGCCAGAACAUAAAGUUCUUGAUACAUUAGCUACUGAACAUGUAAACCCUGAUCCUGGGAUAUAGACACUGUGUGUUACGAUGAAGAAAGUCAUGACACUGCAGCUACUGAAGCUGCUGUAAUUGAUCAAGAUGGACCUCCAACGGGCAGGAAAAGGUAGAAGCUUACACUUCUUCAUAGCAAGUUGAUAGCAAAAUGUAAACAGCGUGAGGUGAAAGCUGUUCAUUUUGUGAUCUACUGUGUUUUAAAUUGAAAGAAUUGGAUUUUAAGUAAAAACCUAUUUUGUUUCUCAUUAAAUAAAGGCAAUAAAAGUUGUACAUACACGAAUUAUGCAAUUCAUGUAUCUGAUUGUACCUAAAUUUUAAAAAUCCAGUUAAAUAAACUUUGUUAUGACUAACGUUCACAAAUAGUCUUUCCAGCUAAGAAUUACACAAAUAUUUUAUUGAAAAUUGUAAUUUUAUAGUACCUAAAAUACCUAAUUUAAUGUUAGAACCUGAU